rnacentral:rRNA from 1 species
GAUGAACGCUGGCGGUAUGCUUAACACAUGCAGGUCGAACGGACUCUUCGGAGUUAGUGGCGGACGGGUGAGUAACGCGUGAGAAUCUGGCUUUGGGUUCGGGACAACCACUGGAAACGGUGGCUAAUACCGGAUGUGCCGAGAGGUAAAAGAGAAAUUGCCUGAAGAUGAGCUCGCGUCUGAUUAGCUAGUUGGUGAGGUAAAGGCUCACCAAGGCAGCGAUCAGUAGCUGGUCUGAGAGGAUGACCAGCCACACUGGGACUGAGACACGGCCCAGACUCCUACGGGAGGCAGCAGUGGGGAAUUUUCCGCAAUGGGCGAAAGCCUGACGGAGCAAUACCGCGUGAGGGAAGAAGGCUCUUGGGUUGUAAACCUCUUUUCUUAGGGAAGAACAAAAUGACGGUACCUAAGGAAUCAGCAUCGGCUAACUCCGUG